rnacentral:rRNA from 1 species
CUCUAGCAUUUCCAGUAUUAGAGGCACUGCCUGCCCAGUGACAUCAGUUAAACGGCCGCGGUAUCCUGACCGUGCAAAGGUAGCAUAAUCAUUUGUUCCUUAAAUAGGGACUUGUAUGAAUGGCCAYWCGAGGGCUUUACUGUCUCUUACUUCCAAUCCGUGAAAUUGACCUUCCCGUGAAGAGGCGGGAAUAUGACAAUAAGACGAGAAGACCCUAUGGAGCUUUAAUUAACCGACCCAAAGAGAUCUUGAUAAUCAACCGACAGGGAUAACAUACCUCUACCAUGGGCCGACAAUUUAGGUUGGGGUGACCUCGGAGAAUAAAACAACCUCCGAGUGAUUUAAAUCUAGACUAACUAGUCGAAAGUACUACAUCACUUAUUGAUCCAAAAACUUGAUCAACGGAACAAGUUACCCUA